rnacentral:lncRNA from 1 species
CUGCUGGGCUCUGUACAUGGGGGGGGGAUCAGAUCUGGGGGUCCCACAUCUAUGGGGCAGAUCCCUAUGGGUCCCAAAUCUAUGGGGCAGAGCCGCAUCUAUGGGGCAGACCCAUAAGUGUGGGGCGGGACCCAUAGAGAACACUUCUAUGUGGGGGGCUGAGAUCUGGGGGUCCCACAUCUAUGGGUCUGAUCCAUAAGGGUCUUCCAUUUAUGGGGCUGGCCCCAUAGAUCCCACUUCUAUGGGUCCCACAUCUAUGGGGCAGAGCCACAUCUAUGGGGCAGAGCCACAUCUAUGGGGCAGACUCACUGGGACCCACAUCUAUGGGGCAGACCCACAUCUAUGGGCCCCACACCUAUGGGUCUAUAGAUUCCCACCCCACACCUAUGGGUCCCGCCCCACACCUAUGGGUCCUCCCUCUCUUCCUAUAGGUCCCGCCCCCCCACUUGUAGGGCAGCCCCACAUCUAUGGGUCCCGCCCCACGCCUAUGGGUCCCGCCUUCCCCCCCCCACUUGUGGGGCAGCCCCACAUCUAUGGGUCCAGCCCCCCACUUAGGGGUCCCACUCCCCACCUAUGGGUCCCUCCCCCCCCACUUGUGGGGCAGCCCCACACCUAUGGGUCCCACUCCCCACCUAUGGGUCCCAGCAUCCCCACAUAGGGGUCCCAGCAUCCCCACUUAGGGGUCCCACCCCACAUCUAUGGGUCCCACCCCACACCUAUGGGUCCCAGCCCCCCACUUAGGGGUCCCGCCCCACAUCUAUGGGUCCCAGCCCCCCCACUUAGGGGUCCCAUCCCACACCUAUGGGUCCCACCCCACACCUAAGGCUCCCAGCCCCCCCACUUAGGGGUCCCGCCCCACACCUAUGAGUCCCAGCCCCCCACUUGUGGGGCAGCCCUACACCUAUGGGUCCCAUCCCACAUCUGUGGGUCCCAGCCCCCCACUUAGGGGUCCCACCCCACAUCUAUGGGUCCCACCCCACACCUAUGGGCCCUGACCCACCACUAUGGG